UACUAUUACUGAUGGUCUGUGCCAG
rnacentral:piRNA from 1 species